UGGCCGCCGCUCCCUUAUAUGGGCAGGGGUGGGGCAAAUCUGAUUGGUCCGAACAUCUGUCAUUCACUGUUACACAGUGUGAUGGGAUUGACUACGUCACAAGGACCUCCAAAGGUCCUCAAGCAGAAAUACCAUAGAGUUCACCUAAUCACGUGACCUGCAGGUCUUGCUACGCUAUAGACAGAAAGCCCCAUGUACAGGCUGGCCUGGUGCGAUCGUCACAUCUACCUUGUGAGACCGGUUUCCUAAAGAGCCUUGGUGAAGAAAUACUGAGUAAUGGAAAUGUCUAAUGAUCUCGGAUGGGGUUCUGGACUUCAGCCAGGAUGGAGAAAGAGAGAGGAAGGUGGCCCCCUCACCAAAAUGAGAAAAAUGAAAAUUAUCGACCCACCCGAAUAAAUCCGUAUGAAUUGGAUACACUGCAUGGAGGCUGAACUUUCUCUGCAUGGGACAUAAAUUGGACUUUUAUUAUUUCCUUUAGAGACAUAGCAAUAGGUCCUUGAAUGUGAAUGGUAUGUAUGUGGGCACUUCUCCCAAUAGGUGCGACUGGCCGGUCCCCAAUAUGGCACCUCAGGUCACAAUAUGUUUGAUUCCCGUCCGGGAGUCACACAACGGACAUGAGCAAUUGCAUGAAUAUGGACCUAGCAAAAGGAACAAGAAACAAGACUUUCCAUAUUCAAAUAUGGCGCUGGUGGACACCCGCAUUAAACACACGCAUGCGCAAGAUACAGACAGCUCCGGCUUUACCUUGAUACAUUGUGCGCUUGCGCAACGAAUAUUUGUAUACAAAUGCGCAUGUCCAGAACGUGCACUAACCUGGCGCAGUAUGCGCCUACGUAAUUGCAGAGUGAACGAGAUGAUCACAUGACCGGAAUACUCCGUCCGGCGACUCCAUGCAGAGAAACGGAAGCAGCCAUGGCGUCCCUCCUGGGUUUUGUUUACAUGACAGAAUUAUGAAUUGGUGAGUCGGCAGCAACAAGACCUCCCUCAGCUCCUCCCUCUGAAGUGUAAUUCUGUUUUAAUAUGCACUGUAUGCACUGCACUUUAUAUUAGAUACACUGGCGCUGUAUAUGAUAUCGCCCUUAUGGCGUCUUAGAGUGGUUUUUAUUCACAGGAAAAUGAUGGAUUUUUUAUGAUCACUGCUAUUGUGUAUUGUUUUGAUAUGGUAAUCGAAUUAAUUAUGUUAAAUUUUGCA